GAUGAACGCUGGCGGCGUGCCUAAUACAUGCAAGUCGAGCGAACGGACGAGGAGCUUGCUUCUCUGAUGUUAGCGGCGGGCGGGUGAUUACCACGUGGAUACCUUACCGUUAAGGCUGGGAUACCUUCGGGAACCCGAAUCUAACACCGGUUGUGAUUUUGAACCGCAUGGUUCAUAAGUCAAAGCGCGAUUUGCUGUCCCUAAUAGGUGGUUCCGAGUUGGAUUAGCUAGUUGGUAAGGUAACGGCCUACCAAGGCAACGAUGCGUAGCCGACCUGAGAGGAUGAUCGGCCACACUGGAACUGAGACACGGUCCAGACUCCUACGGGAGGCAGCAGUAGGGAAUAUUCCGCAAUGGGCGAAAGCCUGACGGAGCAACGCCGCGUGAGUGAUGAAGGUCUUCGGAUCGUAAAACUCUGUUAUUAGGGAAGAACAUAUGUGUAAGUAACUGUGCACAUCUUGACGGUACCUAAUGAGAAAGCCACGGCUAACUACGUG
rnacentral:rRNA from 1 species